rnacentral:rRNA from 1 species
AUGUCUGAAACUAGGGAGGUUGCCAUUGGAAAGGAUAUUAGUAACGAAGGGGGAAACGUUGAUGCUUUUGAUUAUCCACAUGAAGAACCUACUAUUUUACACACUAAAAAAAUUCAGAUUGGUAGUGGUAAUAUCAUUGGAAAAGGAGUUAUUCAAGAUUUCUUUACUUGUGCCGGUGCUUUGCCCACCAUGAGUGGGUCUAUUCUUCAUAAAACUAGUAGUCUUGCGGAUGCUAUAUCUUUGCUCGUGGUUGAACUUGAAAGACAAUUUAUCCAUAUGCAUCCUUGCAUACAGAGGAUUUUUCUAGAAUUUUCUAAUAUUGAGCAUUCUUCUGUUAAGCGAGCAGCUACCAUCUUUUUAGCUCAUGAGUUCAGAUUUAUAAGAAAAGAGGCCAAUGAAAUUUUUGCACAUUAUAGGGUGGAUGCCGGCUGUCCUCCCAUAGAAGCUAUCCUUUUUUAUCAAGAUGACAUAAUGCGGUUACGAUCUUUAGAUCAUGUUUCUUUUAAUGAAAACCUUAGAAAAAAGGUUCCUACCGAUGUUCUUGUUGAUAGGAUUUCUGAACUUAAUGAUAAUUUUGCUAUCCAGAACAAUGGGUUAGGUUUUUCCCUUGAACAAAGGCUCAUGACCUUUUGUCAAAAGAAUGCUUAUAAUGAUGAAUUGGUUGUGCAAUAUGAGGGGCCAAAGGAGGAACCAAUCCCUCCUGAGCUUGAUCUUGGGGACUUUUGUCCCAUUAAAUUUAGCCUUUUGAUUACUUUUGCUUGCCACAAAGAAAGCUUGCUGUUGAACAUAGGUAAUAUGAGAUGA